CCUACGGGCGGCUGCAGUCGAGAAUCAUUCACAAUGGGGGAAACCCUGAUGGUGCGACGCCGCGUGGGGGAAUGAAGGUCUUCGGAUUGUAAACCCCUGUCAUGUGGGAGCAAAUUAAAAAGAUAGUACCACAAGAGGAAGAGACGGCUAACUCGGUGCCAGCAGCCGCGGUAAUACAGAGGUCUCAAGCGUUGUUCGGAAUCACUGGGCGUAAAGCGUGCGUAGGCUGUUUCGUAAGUCGUGUGUGAAAGGCGCGGGCUCAACCCGCGGCCGGCACAUGAUACUGCGGGACUAGAGUAAGGGAGGGGGAACCGGAAUUCUCGGUGUAGCAGUGAAAUGCGUAGAUAUCGGGAGGAACACUCGUGGCGAAGGCGGGUUCCUGGACAGUAACUGACGCUGAGGCACGAAGGCCAGGGGAGCGAAAGGGAUUAGAUACCCCGGUAGUC
rnacentral:rRNA from 1 species